rnacentral:lncRNA from 1 species
UCCCUCUCCUCUUCAUGCCAUUUUGUUGAACAAAAUCAGAUGGGGCGUGCGCACCAUCUUAUCUCCUUUCAAAUUCAAAUAGGGUGCAAGCCCUUAUCCUCAUCCACAAGGGGUUAAGUCCCCUUUAAAUUUAAAUGGAGCUUUAUCCCUUCAACUCAAUUGGAACUCAAAUUCAAAUGGGGCGAAGCCCCAAUCCUCUUUUCCUUAUCCAUAGGGGGCACAUGCCCCUUGGAUCUUAUCCAUUUGGGCAUCCCACCCUUUCUCUCCUGAAUAUUUCAUGAAGAAAAAUAUGUGGUGCCACCCCCCCCCAAUUAAAUUCUUAUAUGGAAGGCUUCAAGGACUCCAACUCUUGGUGUCCUAAAGAGCUUGCUUUGAUUUAGUCAAGCCCUAUCCAAUAGAAAAUUCAAAUCAAGGAGAAACUGAGUUUAAUCAUGUGCUAGCAUAAUUUUCUUAAACCCAAAAUUAGGAUUUAAUUAAUCCUAACCCAAUCAAACUAUGUGGGCUCAAUUGUGCAAUCCUAGACCAAAAUCUUUGUUUGUGUGACCCCACAGGUUUAAUUCUAUUUGGCAGUGGGAUGUAUUGUGAUUUCUAUUAUCAAUAUCAUCGAAACUCUUUUCGAUGAAUUGAAACUUCUUCUAAUUCAUCCAAUUUAGAAUUAUCGAUUAUUGAGAUAAUUCUAAUUGAUCCCAUAAUGCACCAGUGAUACCUAACAAUAUAUAGUGGCAACCCAUC